AGAAAGAGCUUUGAAAAGGGAAGACUAUAACAGAGCUUAAGAGAAGACUGCAGAGUCUUGUGCAUGACUUUCCUUGAAUGCAGGAAUAUCUCCGACUCUUGCUCCCUUGUGGCUUCUCCCUGGAAGACAGAGGAGUAUCAAAAAGUGAAUUGAUGCUGUUCCAAGGAGACGCGGUUAUGUCUGGGACAGCAACGGAGGUAUGGACGUGGGAAGUAUACAUGUCAAACAAAUAUGUAUGCGUYAGAACACCAAAUACCAAUGGAAAUGUUGCUGUCGCUACAGAGCAAGCAUCAGUGAAUCCUGGUUGUUUUACUGUAUGGGCUGCAGGACCUCGAGGGGAUCCUUCCGGGGCUCUGAAUUGUGGAAAGUUUACGUGCAUGUUCUAA
rnacentral:lncRNA from 1 species